rnacentral:rRNA from 2 species
AAAUUGAAGAGUUUGAUCAUGGCUCAGAUUGAACGCUGGCGGCAGGCCUAACACAUGCAAGUCGAACGGUAACAGGAAGCAGCUUGCUGCUUCGCUGACGAGUGGCGGACGGGUGAGUAAUGUCUGGGAAACUGCCUGAUGGAGGGGGAUAACUACUGGAAACGGUGGCUAAUACCGCAUAACGUCGCAAGACCAAAGAGGGGGACCUUCGGGCCUCUUGCCAUCAGAUGUGCCCAGAUGGGAUUAGCUAGUUGGUGAGGUAACGGCUCACCAAGGCGACGAUCCCUAGCUGGUCUGAGAGGAUGA